rnacentral:rRNA from 1 species
GGUCUGCAACUCGACCUCAUGAAGUCGGAAUCGCUAGUAAUCGCAUAUCAGAACGAUGCGGUGAAUACGUUCCCGGGCCUUGUACACACCGCCCGUCACACCACGAAAGUUUGUUGUACCCGAAGUCGGUGCCUUAACCUCGCAAGAGGAGAGAGCCGCCCAAGGUAUGGCCGAUGAUUGGGGUGAAGUCGUAACAAGGUAGCCGUAGGGAACCUGCGGCUGGAUCACCUCCUUUCUAGGAGAGAAGGGUCCUGGAUGAAGCGCUCCUAUUUAGUCUUGUGAAGGAUCCGAGUGGAAGCCGGGACCGGAGAGAUACCGGGCCUGUAGCUCAGAUGGUGAGAGCGCACGCCUGAUAAGCGUGAGGUCGAUAGUUCGAAUCUAUCCAGGCCCACCAUCU